rnacentral:rRNA from 1 species
AGCUUGCUUCUCUUGAGAGCGGCGGAGGGUGAGUUACUACUAGGAAUCUGCCUGGUAGUGGGGGAUAACGCUCGGAAACGGACGCUAAUACCGCAUACGUCCUACGGGAGAAAGCAGGGGACCUUCGGGCCUUGCGCUAUCAGAUGAGCCUAGGUCGGAUUAGCUAGUUGGUGAGGUAAUGGCUCACCAAGGCGACGAUCCGUAACUGGUCUGAGAGGAUGAUCAGUCACACUGGAACUGAGACACGGUCCAGACUCCUACGGGAGGCAGCAGUGGGGAAUAUUGGACAAUGGGCGAAAGCCUGAUCCAGCCAUGCCGCGUGUGUGAAGAAGGUCUUCGGAUUGUAAAGCACUUUAAGUUGGGAGGAAGGGCAUUAACCUAAUACGUUGGUGUCUUGACGUUACCGACAGAAUAAGCACCGGCUAACUCUGUGCCAGCAGCCGCGGUAAUACAGAGGGUGCAAGCGUUAAUCGGAAUUACUGGGCGUAAAGCGCGCGUAGGUGGUUCGUUAAGUUGGAUGUGAAAUCCCCGGGCUCAACCUGGGAACUGCAUUCAAAACUGACGAGCUAGAGUAUGGUAGAGGGUGGUGGAAUUUCCUGUGUAGCGGUGAAAUGCGUAUAUAUAGGAAGGAACACCAGUGGCGAAGGCGACCACCUGGACUGAUACUGACACUGACGUGCGAAAGCGUGGUGAGCAAACAGGAUUAUAUACCCUGGUACUCCACUCCGUAUACGAUGUCAACUAGCCUUUUGAAACCUUGACCUCUUAAUUGCGCCUCUUAUCCAAUAAGUUGACCGCCUGUGUAGUAC